UACGUAGGGGGCAAGCGUUGUCCGGAAUCAUUGGGCGUAAAGAGCGUGUAGGCGGCCCGAUAAGUCCGCUGUGAAAGUCCAGGGCUCAACCCUGGGAUGCCGGUGGAUACUGUCGGGCUCGAGUCCGGAAGAGGAGUGUGGAAUUCCUGGUGUAGCGGUGAAAUGCGCAGAUAUCAGGAGGAACACCAAUGGCGAAGGCAGCACUCUGGGACGUGACUGACGCUGAGCACGCGAAAGCGUGGGGAGCAAACAGG
rnacentral:rRNA from 1 species